rnacentral:misc_RNA from 1 species
GUAGAGAUAUAUCAGAGAUUUUUACUUUUUUUCCGUAUCAGGCAUUUCGAGAGAACAAAGGGGUUAUAUCAUUUCAUGGCGGAUCAGUGAAUUAUUGGGCCGAGCUGGAUUUGAACCAGCGUAGACAUAUUGCCAACGAAUUUACAGUCCGUCCCCAUUAACCGCUCGGGCAUCGACCCGGGAAGAAUCAAUUCCAGACUUAUUAAUAAUCCAUGAUCAACUUCCUUUCGUAAUACCCUACCCCC